GGAUUUGUGGCUCAAUGGUACAGCAUCUGCUUGGAAUUCAGAUGGGCCUAGGUUCAACUGGUUCUGGUGGGUUUU
rnacentral:tRNA from 1 species